AGAAAAAAUUUGGUGCUGUCUAUCUGAGUGAACGGGCAGUUCAAAAGAAGAAAAUUAAUGGAAAACAUGUCGGCGAGUGCCUGAGGCGUGUAUGUAAAUUCAUAUCGUCUCAUAAUGUAAUCAUCGAGGAGAACAGCAUAUUUGAUAUGUAGAUCAUCAAGAGGUACACAGCUUAUUCUCUUAUUCAAGUAGAAGUUCUCUUAUGAAGCAGAUCGCAACCCACUUACGGCAAGGAAGUGUUUUUUUUUUUUUUUUUUUCUUCUUUUUUUUCUUUUUUUUUUUCUUUUUUUUUCUGAGUCAUGAAUGUUAAGAUAAAAGAGGAGUGACUUCAAGGAAAAGAUUUGUGUUUAUUAGUUGAUAACAAAGAAGGAGGAGGAGUGUUUUUUUUUUGUUUUUUUUCCUGUCCAAUAAACUCACAAAAUGUACUGGAUUUCCUUUACCCUGACUAUAAAAAUACCAUUUUAAGUAUUUGUGAGCAAUUUCAACAGCUAAUGUUGAGGGUACCUAAAGAAUUUCAAGAACAAAAUUUAUUUUUGAAAACUUACCUGUUCCUCUCGUGUUUUUUCUCUUGUGCUGCCUCUCCCUCUCUCUCUCUCUCUCCCUCUCUC